UCAGAAGUCAAGGAAAAGCCAGUGCAGGAGAACAUCAUCAGCAGCUCCCUGAAGCAGGAGGCUGCAGAUGGGGAAGGCUGGAGCCUCUGCCAUGGUACCCAAGCCCAGCAGGGAGCUGCAUCCGGCCUGGAGGAGACCAAAGCAAACCCCCCUCAAGGGCCACCAGUGGGGCUGGAAGACUCUUCUAGGUGAGUUGGGUCAUUUUUUGGGUUACUUUUCUUCCAGAGAACUGGAAUUUUGUCCUUUUUCUCCUCCCUGUGGAGCUGCACAUUCCUGGUUUUCCCCUCCUGGGUCGCUGGUGCCUCCCCAGAGCAGCUUCCCCACAUCCUGGUGUUUUCUGAGACAAAAUUUGAGGAAUUUGAGGCUCAGCCCUGGCAUUUGAGGGUGGAGAGGGAAGUCCCAGCCCCAUCCACCCUCCCCAGCCAGCAGGGUGUGAUUGCUCAGGUGCACAUUCCUACAUAAAUUUGGGGAAAUCCUGGUUGGGGAACAACCACCCUCCCAAAUCCUGGGCAAAGGCAGUUCUUUCCCUCUGGAUCCUGGCAGAGAUAGGAAGCAAGAAUUCCCUAAAGCUGGCUAAUCCUCUCAGAAAUUCCCAGUUCUCUAAUAAAACCUUUGGAGGAAGGAGCCAGUCCCAAAAGGUGCUGGGAUUUUGCUUUUUUGCUCCCUGCCAAUGGCCUUGGAGGGGCUGAGCGUGUUUUGCAGGAUGAUUUUUCCCUAAGGAGUUUAGUGGGGAUUGUGUUUUUUUUUUUUUUUUUUUUUUUUAAUGGGGGGGGGGGGGGGGGUGGGGAUUGUGUUUGUUUUUUUUUUUUUUUUUUUUUUUAAUUGGGAACUUGUUUCCCUCCCAAGCCAGCUCGAAGACUUUCCUUGCUUUGAUGUCCCACAGCCUGGUAAUUAAUUAUCUGCUUAAAUUAAUUCAUAGG
rnacentral:lncRNA from 1 species